UUUUUUUUUUUUUUUUUCUUUUCUUUUCUUUCCUUUUUUUUUGGGGGGGGUAUUUUU
rnacentral:ribozyme from 14 species